CAGGGUGGCAGUUCACAUCAACUGUACAAGUCAGUUCAUUCAUAGAUUUUCACAUUGCCAAAGAAUACGUUGAUCUAUCCUGCUCAUGAUUACAAGGGAUUCACUGUAUGGGACUCUCUAUUGUCUAUUUCUUCUGUACCCUGUAUACCGAGGCAGCUUCUUUUGCCACACAUUUGCUUGAGAUGCAGCUUAGCACCGUUGGGGAGGAGAUGCUUUAUAAUCCUCGACUCACAAAAGAUGAGGUAUAUAUUUCGUGGUUCCAAAAGUGUUAACCCUUGUAGUUGCUAAAUUUAAUGUUCUUCAGGAAGAUGAUACUGAUACUAUCUGGUUGACAAGUGGAUGUCAAGAUUUUGUAUAUCUACAUAUAUCUUGGGUCAACAAAUGUUUGACUAAGAUGUCUUAGCAUGAUUUUGACCUGGGCAAUAUUAGUGUGAAGGAGCCUCUGCCUAAAAGCAACCACCUAAUUUACCAAGAAUAGUUAGUACCGGUGUUACACAGAUGUAAAAGAAUGCAGAAUUUUAAGGGAAAGUAGUGAGAAAUAGAUUUUUCUUUUAUGUGAGAUACUAGCUGAAUAAAUUAGUAGUCACUGUAAAGAGUCUUGACCAUAUGCGCUGCAUAGAUGCACUUUUAUUUUUCA